CAGAAAGGAAAAAGAUAAUAGGAAUUUAGCAUAUUUUGGACAUUUAAAAAAAAACUAUUCACUAGCAAGUCCAAGUGCUAAAAAAGUUAAGUUUAGAUGCAAAGAAUGGGGAUCUGGAUGGAGUAUCUUCUAGUAUAAAUCAUACCAGAUAUCUAAACUAGGGUGGCUUGCUGUAAGGCAAGCCAUCUUAAUUGUAUCCCGUAAAAAUAUCUGAUUGGUUCAGUGUGCUGCCUUCUGCUAAGACUUCUGCAUUAGAAGAAUAACAUUUAUUGAGAUGAUAUUCCUGUACUCUUCACAUCUUUUAGGAUUGAACAGGAGGGAUCUACAUAAAAGCUUUCAGUGAACUCAGAAGAAAACAACAACAACAACAAAACAAACCCAAUUUGUUGGAAACCUGUGAAUAUAGGUAGCACAGUCUUUGCCCAGGAGCUACUAAGCUCCCUAAUUCCUUGAUUUUGGAUAUCUCUGUGACUUUACCAGAGAACUGGGAGGGAAAACCAGAUUUUAUAAGGCCCUAUGGAAAACAUGGACAAGCUGUUCUAGCUUCAGUUCCUUGAUUCCGUUUGAAAAAGACUGGCAGUGAAUUCUGCAGUACAGUGGAGAACAUGGCCUACUAUCCUCACUGAAUGCAAGGCUAUUCUUGGCUUCACAAUAAACAGUUAAGAUUUCACAGCUAAAUAUUUAGUUGUAAUGUUAAUACUCUUGACAGAAAUUGAAGUGGUGAUCGUGAAUGUGACAGUCUGUCCCACACCUAUUUAUCUCCAGACUUGGUACAGCUUAAGCAAGAGAGACCUCAUCCUGCAUUUACAGGAAUUACUUG